UAAGGGGAGGGGGCAAUCUUACCGUGCCAGUCGAGGGGUAGAGUUAGCUUGCUGACUUGAGACCGGCGCACGGGUGCGUAACGCGUAUGCAAUCUACCUUGUACAGGGGGAUAGCCCAGAGAAAUUUGGAUUAAUACCCCAUAGUGUAAUUGGAAGGCAUCUUUUGAUUACUAAAGUUCCAACGGUACAAGAUGAGCAUGCGUCCCAUUAGCUAGUUGGUGUGGUAACGGCAUACCAAGGCGACGAUGGGUAGGGGUCCUGAGAGGGAGAUCCCCCACACUGGUACUGAGACACGGACCAGACUCAUACGGGAGGCAGCAGUGAGGAAUAUUGGUCAAUGGGCGCAAGCCUGAACCAGCCAUGCCGCGUGCAGGAUGACGGUCCUAUGGAUUGUAAACUGCUUUUGUGCAGGAAGAAACACUCCCUCGUGAGGGAGCUUGACGGUACUGUAAGAAUAAGGAUCGGCUAACUCCGUGCCAGCAGCCGCGGUAAUACGGAGGAUCCAAGCGUUAUCCGGAAUCAUUGGGUUUAAAGGGUCCGUAGGCGGUUUUAUAAGUCAGUGGUGAAAUCUGGUCGCUCAACGAUCAAACGGCCAUUGAUACUGUAGAACUUGAAUUACUUGGAAGUAACUAGAAUAUGUAGUGUAGCGGUGAAAUGCUUAGAGAUUACAUGGAAUACCAAUUGCGAAGGCAGGUUACUACGAGUAUAUUGACGCUGAUGGACGAAAGCGUGGGGAGCGAACAGGAUUAGAUACCCUGGUAGUCCACGCCGUAAACGAUGGAUACUAGCUGUUUGGAGCAAUCUGAGUGGCUAAGCGA
rnacentral:rRNA from 1 species